rnacentral:rRNA from 1 species
UGCAAGUAGAACGCUGAAGAGAGGAGCUUGCUCUUCUUGGAUGAGUUGCGAACGGGUGAGUAACGCGUAGGUAACCUGCCUUGUAGCGGGGGAUAACUAUUGGAAACGAUAGCUAAUACCGCAUAACAAUGGAUGACACAUGUCAUUUAUUUGAAAGGGGCAAUUGCUCCACUACAAGAUGGACCUGCGUUGUAUUAGCUAGUAGGUGAGGUAAUGGCUCACCUAGGCGACGAUACAUAGCCGACCUGAGAGGGUGAUCGGCCACACUGGGACUGAGACACGGCCCAGACUCCUACGGGAGGCAGCAGUAGGGAAUCUUCGGCAAUGGGGGCAACCCUGACCGAGCAACGCCGCGUGAGUGAAGAAGGUUUUCGGAUCGUAAAGCUCUGUUGUAAGUCAAGAACGGGUGUGAGAGUGGAAAGUUCACACUGUGACGGUAGCUUACCAGAAAGGGACGGCUAACUACGUGCCAGCAGCCGCGGUAAUACGUAGGUCCCGAGCGUUGUCCGGAUUUAUUGGGCGUAAAGCGAGCGCAGGCGGUUUGAUAAGUCUGAAGUUAAAGGCUGUGGCUCAACCAUAGUUCGCUUUGGAAACUGUCAAACUUGAGUGCAGAAGGGGAGAGUGGAAUUCCAUGUGUAGCGGUGAAAUGCGUAGAUAUAUGGGAGGAACACCGGUGGCGAAAGCGGCUCUCUGGUCUGUAACUGACGCUGAGGCUCGAAAGCGUGGGGAG